rnacentral:lncRNA from 1 species
UGAAUUAGGGUUUCCUUGGGAAACAAGCCUCAAGCCCUUUGGGUUAUCUUGAUCAAAUUGGAAAAUUGGGAUACUUGGGAGACAUAUAUGAUGAUUUAGAGCUUUGGGAACCAUUUUCAUACUUGCUUUCAUCUUCAUCUAGCCAUUUCAAUGAGCAUAGGAGCUUCCUAGGAGCAAGGGCACAGGUGACCACUUGAGCUUCA